rnacentral:rRNA from 1 species
GACGAACGCUGGCGGCGUGCUUAACACAUGCAAGUCGAACGGAAAGGCCCCUUUGGGGGUACUCGAGUGGCGAACGGGUGAGUAACACGUGAGUAACCUGCCCUUGACUUCGGGAUAACUUCAGGAAACUGGGGCUAAUACCGGAUAGGAAUCCUUGCUGCAUGGUGGGGGUUGGAAAGCUUCGGCGGUUUUGGAUGGACUCGCGGCUUAUCAGCUUGUUGGUGGGGUAGUGGCUUACCAAGGCUUUGACGGGUAGCCGGCCUGAGAGGGCGACCGGCCACAUUGGGACUGAGAUACGGCCCAGACUCCUACGGGAGGCAGCAGUGGGGAAUAUUGCACAAUGGGCGGAAGCCUGAUGCAGCAACGCCGCGUGCGGGAUGACGGCCUUUGGGUUGUAAACCGCUUUCAGCAGGGGCGAAGCUUGUGGUGACGGUACCUGCAGAAGAAGCACCGGCUAACUACGUG